rnacentral:tRNA from 1 species
AGUUAAUAACUUAUAGUAAAGUAAUAUGUUUUGAAAACAUAAAUUAGAGGUUAAAUCCCCCUGUUAACUU